UACAGAGGGUGCGAGCGUUAAUCGGAUUUACUGGGCGUAAAGGGUGCGUAGGCGGUUUGGUGUGUGUGAUGUGAAAGCCCCGGGCUCAACCUGGGAAGUGCAUCGCAAACUAUCGAACUGGAGUACAAGAGAGGGUAGCGGAAUUUCCGGUGUAGCGGUGAAAUGCGUAGAUAUCGGAAGGAACGUCAAUGGCGAAGGCAGCUACCUGGCUUGAUACUGACGCUGAGGCACGAAAGCGUGGGGAGCGAACAGG
rnacentral:rRNA from 1 species